UGGUUUCUUGAGCCGUAUUUUUCUCCCACUUCCCUUCACCACCAUCUGCUCUGAAAAUACAAGUGUAUAUGAAAUGUCAGACUAGGGCUGUGCAGUUAAUCAAAAUUUUAAUCACAAUUACGAUUUUGGCUCCUUAUGAUCACAAAAACAGAAUAAUCGAGAAAAACGAUUAUUUUCCACAUUAUGUUUUGCAAGUAAACUCUUAUUUUGUCUUGACUUCUGAAUGAAAGGGACAUUUCACAGUUGAAGGUGAUUUCACUGUUGAUUUGUUUAACUUUUUCACUGUUGGUUUGUUUUAACUCUAAAAA